CUCAGAGUGAGUUGUCCUGGCAUUGAUGUUCCCUCUCCUGGCAUCCCAGAGGCCCCACGUGCCUCCUCUGUGCCUGGUGGACUCCCAGGUACCUUAAGGCUUUUGGCUCAGAUGCCCCUUCCCCCAGGAAGCCCUCCUGGCUUCCUCCCCCGUCCACUCCAGAUUUGUACACCCUCAUCAGGGCCUUUCCCCAGUGUUCUUAUUGCUCGUUGCUGCCCUGCAGGACCCUCGGCCUUGACUCCCCCACCUGGCCCUACUGUGCCAAAGCUCAGAGAGGUUGGGACAUUUGCCCAGUGUCACACAGCUGGGAAGUGGCAGAGCCCAGCACACGCUCAGACAGAUUGGAGCCCAGUGCUUUGCCUGCGGGCAGUGCAGCCUAGUGGCUAGGGAGGUGAAGAGGGCUAGGAGGCUGCUCCUGCCCCUGGUGUGGGGUCUUGGGCAGGUGACUUCACUUGUGACAUCGUUUUCGAGGCACCUCUGGACUCUGAGUGACCACAUCCCGGGCUCAGACAGGAGGACAAGGCUGGCCGGCCAAGGAAGGCUGCCUGCCUGUGCCUUCCCCCACCCCCCAACUUUGCUUCGUUGCCUCUGCUCUCUGCUUUAGCCUGGACCUGACCCCUGACCCCAGGGCUCAGCAAGCAGUGCUGAGUGAGGUGUCUGCACCUGUACAGUCAGGCCACUCAUGGUGGUCGUUCUUUGGCUGGCUGGCCACGCCCUGCCCGACCGACCAGGGCCUGCUUACCUACCAUCCCCUAGCACGGGACUGACCUUCCUGCAUGCUCGCCCCAGGCCCCAGGUGGUGAUUGUUCUAAUCAAAGGGGCCCCUUGCGGCCACGUGCCCACUGCUGAUUUCCCUGGUAACUAAUGAGCCCACCUGAGGUCACUUCCCCUGUAACUGGUAACCUGCCCUUUCCCGGGAGCGAAGCCUGCCACCGUGUCCUGCCUGCCGUCCACCACACACAAUGGGGCGUCUCUCCGGGACUCUGCUUCAGACGUGUGAAUGGAAAGGAGGCCUGGCCCCUAGGGACAGGAUCUGAACCUGGUGAAGGAGCCAACACCCCCAGCAUUGCAGGACAAAUUUUGGAUCAUCCGUGCUUUCUACUGAAAGACUUGCAAUCCAAAGGGGAAAUGAUGGAAGAACCUGCAGCAGUCCAGCGCCGACUUGACUUCCACAGCUGGGCAUCUCUUGUGGAAGUGCUGCUCCUUCCUGUCUUCCGCGUCUGCUUCCUCCUGGUCCUUGGAGGCCUCUCCACUCAGCAGGUAGAUGAAGAAGAAUGGGGAAGGUUGCAGAUUCAUGUCUUAUGGAUCCACCGGGGAGCAGUCAACACCAAUAUCUUCACACUCCAUCACCCCUAGCUGCACGGGAGGCCGGAGAUGUGGGUGUCUGUGUGCCCUGGAGUGAAGGGGAACAGUUUCCAGGACAGUUCAUCCAUCUCUAUCAUAGAAACCAUAGUCUACAAGAUCAAUGAGAGCCAUCUUGAUCCUUUUGUGGAAAGAGAGACCCCUUGAUUUACCAGGAUUGGGGAAGUCUCAAGAUAAUCACUGUGUCAAUAUGUGUGCGAGUAUGUGCGUGAGUGCAUGUUCCCCAGAAACCAAAGCCUGAGGCAAGGCUCACAGGCUCCUGCCUUCUUAGGAGGUGCAACCCCAGGAAGCGGAAGUGAGGGCAAGGAGAACUAAUAGGAAGGUCCAGUCUGAACUGACCAGCACCUGGUAUUAAGAGCCAGCCAUUGCUUGGUUUUAUGGGGCCAUCUUCCUAAAGUCCAUAUAAACAGUUGCUGCUCAGGACAGCUUAUUCAAGGAGGAGAAAGAAAGGACAUUUAUCCACUGGCUUCUGCUGCUCAUUGGCCAAUGAUUCAUCCAGGUUGCAAGAACUCUCUUAGUCAUGCAGGGAUAGGCUCUAGGCAAAUCCUACGGCAUCCCUGAGCCCCCGAGGCCAGGAAGAUCUUCAGAGCAGGGAAUGGAAGGUGCCUGGCGUGGACAUCAGGUGAGGCACCUGCCGAAUCCAGUUGGAACCCGUGGAAAGAUCCCUGGUGUCUCCUUUGCCAAGCUUACAGAAGACAGAAUUGGAAGGCACCAAAAUCCAGAUGCAGGUUGGCACCAGGCACCGGGUUAGCCCACAACAAGACCCUGCCCACAAUGAGACCCCACCCACAACGAGACCCUUUCUGAAGCUCAGCGGGGUUCUGCUCUGCACUGCAUCUGACCUCUGGAGAGUUCGAGUG
ensembl:lncRNA